GCCUAUUGAAUAUUAUAUAAUAGGUAUAUAUCCUGCCCAGUGAAUCUUAUUUCAACGGCCGCGGUAUCCUGACCGUGCAAAGGUAGCAUAAUCAUUUGCCUCUUAAUUAGAGGCUAGUAUGAAUGGAAAAACGAAAGCUAAUCUGUCUCCUUUAUAAGAAUAUAAAUUAACCUUCAGGUGAAGAGGCCUGAAUCCAUUUAAAAGACAAGAAGACCCUGUCGAGCUUUAUUCUAUAAAAUAAAACCUAUAACUUAAAAUCAUACAUGAAUUUUGUUGGGGCGACAAAGGAACAAAAUUAACUUCCUUAUUUAAUAAAGAUUAUUUAUCUAACUAUAGACCCAUUCCAUGAUCUUUAAUUCCAGCUACCGCAGGGAUAACAGUCUUAUUUCCCCCAAGAGCCCACAUCUACGGGGAAGUUUAGCACCUCGAUGUUGGCUUAGGAAUUCUAUUAAAUGUAGCCGUUUAAUUAGAAGGUUUGUUCAACCUUUAAAAU
rnacentral:rRNA from 1 species